GAUGAACGCUGGCGGCGUGCUUAACACAUGCAAGUCGAACGAAGCACUUUGAUCGAUUUCUUCGGAUUGAAAUUUUAGUGACUGAGUGGCGGACGGGUGAGUAACGCGUGGGUAACCUGCCUCACACAGGGGGAUAACAGUUGGAAACGGCUGCUAAUACCGCAUAAGCGCACAGUACCGCAUGGUACAGUGUGAAAAACUCCGGUGGUGUGAGAUGGACCCGCGUCUGAUUAGCUAGUUGGCAGGGCAGCGGCCUACCAAGGCGACGAUCAGUAGCCGACCUGAGAGGGUGACCGGCCACAUUGGGACUGAGACACGGCCCAAACUCCUACGGGAGGCAGCAGUGGGGAAUAUUGCACAAUGGGGGAAACCCUGAUGCAGCGACGCCGCGUGAGCGAAGAAGUAUUUCGGUAUGUAAAGCUCUAUCAGCAGGGAAGAAGAAAUGACGGUACCUGACUAAGAAGCACCGGCUAAAUACGUGCCAGCAGCCGCGGUAAUACGUAUGGUGCAAGCGUUAUCCGGAUUUACUGGGUGUAAAGGGAGCGCAGGCGGAAGGCUAAGUCUGAUGUGAAAGCCCGGGGCUCAACCCCGGUACUGCAUUGGAAACUGGUCAUCUAGAGUGUCGGAGGGGUAAGUGGAAUUCCUAGUGUAGCGGUGAAAUGCGUAGAUAUUAGGAGGAACACCAGUGGCGAAGGCGGCUUACUGGACGAUAACUGACGCUGAGGCUCGAAAGCGUGGGGAGCAAAC
rnacentral:rRNA from 1 species